GCCAUAGCUCUGUGGUAGAGCAUCUACUUUGCAUGCAGAAGUUCCCAGGUUCAGUCCCUGGCACCUACA
rnacentral:tRNA from 1 species